rnacentral:tRNA from 3 species
UCGAAAUCGGUAGACGCUACGGACUUAAUUGGAUUGAGCCUUGGUAUGGAAAAUCCGUCGACUUUAGAAAUCGUGAGC